GGAGAGGUGGCAGAGCGGUUGAAUGCACCGGUCUUGAAAACCGGCAAGGGCUGACGCCCUUCGAGGGUUCGAAUCCCUCCCUCUCCGCCA
rnacentral:tRNA from 2 species